AACGAACGCUGGCGGCAUGCCUAACACAUGCAAGUCGAACGAGAUCACUCGGGGUCUAGUGGCGCACGGGUGCGUAAUGCGUGGGAAUUUGCCUAGGGGUAUGGAAUAACUCUGAGAAAUUUGAGCUAAUACCAUAUGAAGUCUUCGGACCAAAGAUUGAAUGCCCUGGGAGGAGGCCGCGUAGGAUUAGUUAGUGGGUGGGGUAAGGGGCUCUCAAAGCGGCGAUCCUUAGCUGGUCUGAGAGGCUGAGCAGACACACUGGGACUGGGACGCGGGCCAGACUCCUACGCGAGGCACGAGUGGGGAAUACAGGACAACGGGCGCAAGCCUGAACCAGCUAGGCCGGUUGAGUGAUGAAGGCCUUAGAGAAAUAAAGCUCGUUUACCCGGGAUGAUAAUGACAGUACCGGGAGAAUAAGCCCCGGCUAACUCCGUG
rnacentral:rRNA from 1 species